rnacentral:tRNA from 1 species
UCCUUCGUGGUGUAGUGGACAGCGCGCUCGACGCUAGUCGAGAAGUCCGUGGUUCGAGUCCCGGUGAGGGCA